CAAAAUAACACCGUCGGGCGAUCGGUUAGGUGCUUUAUCGUUUUCGCAGAUUCGGGAAACAACAAUGUUGUCAAUUUGGCGACCAUCAGCUGCAAUGGCAAAACAGUGUUAUGCAGUUACAAGGAUUCCACGGAUCUCGAAGCGAAAGGUGCAAAAAUCAUCCGGAUCGUGCUGUUUAGGAACACAUGCAGCACAGUUCGGACGGCCGCUGUCCGGGCAAAGCAGAUAAUCAUGUCCGCAAUUAUGCCUUUUCACAAGCACCGGGGAUCUGUUAAAUAUCAUCGCCAGUCGGAAAACAUUUUAAGCUGUCGGUUCCGAAAAGCUUCGCAAAAGUUGUACGGAAACCAGAAUUUUCCGCCAGCAGAGUGGAGCAGUAACAUAUUUUCAUCCAGAAGACGUAGCAUUCCAGCAAAUAAGAGCGAAGUAUAACAUCAUCCAGCUCAAGGGUUUGCCCGAAUGAUUCUUCUCCAAACAUCCACAUCCAAACCAAGAUGACCUUUGGACUAAGUUUUGACCCUCAAUUCCACAAGUAGCCGUUUGCGGGUUUCCAACUGGCAGAAAAAGUAAUCCAAAAUUCGGUUUGCCGACUAAAACGAAACGCAGAAUAGUGCUUGUGGAUUGUGUUUUGCCAAUGCCGGAAGUGUAGUGAAAGUUGUAUUUUUUUUUAUCUGCCUUAAAAUGAAUUGAAGAAAAUAAAAAUGAUAAUUCAAAAACUGUUUA